GAUUUAGUGAACCGUGUCU
rnacentral:snRNA from 1 species